GCCGACAUAGCUCAGAUGGAAGAGCGUCUCCUUUGUAACGAGAAUGUCGCUGGUUCGAUUCCGGCUGUCGGCUCCA
rnacentral:tRNA from 1 species